GUUUCAGUUACAUUCUCACCACUGCGUCAACCAGACUAUUAAGUUUUAUCGUUAAAUUGGAGAACAUUUUUAAGAAUUGAGAAAUCUUCCAAAAUGUUUCUGGUAAAUGGAUUUCCAGUUACGAGUUUGUAGUAAGGCUCGGGAUUUUUAAUUUUCCACCUGUUUAGAUAGUCAGCUUUUUGAAGUUAUGGUUCAAACAUUAUUUAUCAUGUUAUCCAUCCCACUGGUCUUAUCGAUACCAAUAACUGAUUCAAAAUUGGGGGAUGCUUCGUUCCCAGGAUUUUCCAGUCUCGCCUCUUAUCAAAAUAUGGGGACUAAUCAAAACAUAAAAUUGAUCGCAGCCACAAAAACACGAAAAGCUCGUCAGGGCAACUACCCUCUCAUGAUUUAUGGUGGAUGCUACCCAACUUUUCAGGGUGCUGCUGGUCGUGGGUGGGGCUGGGGCUCACCCAGUUAUCCUCCAUACAACUCAUUUGGAAACCAAAAUAGAGCGCCACCGUUCCCCAACCCCGCCGUUUUUCUUGGUUCGUUCGCUUGUUACAGAAAUCCACACGACCCGAGAUGUUCCCAAAGGCCGAGUGGCCACGGAUGAUGUUUUUGGAUUGUUGGGAAAAGAAAUUGUGAACAGGCUUCCAUGCUCACUCUCCUUUACAAAAAUAAACUUGUUAAAGUUAUAUCUAUCUAAUUGCAAAAUUAUAAUUUCAAAUCUAACCAGAUUGAAUACAUGAAACUACAUGUACAUAUGUAUUUAUAUAAUUUUGGCUUUAGUAAUAUGAACACUUUUUAAAAACUUCA